AACGAACGCUGGCGGCAGGCCUAACACAUGCAAGUCGAACGCUCUAGCAAUAGAGAGUGGCAGACGGGUGAGUAACGCGUGGGAACCUUCCCAAUGGUGCAGAAUAGCCCAGGGAAACUUGGGGUAAUACUGCAUAAGCCCUUCGGGGGAAAGAUUUAUCGCCAUUGGAUGGGCCCGCGUCGGAUUAGCUAGUUUGUGAGGAAAUGGCUGGCCAAGGCAACGAUCUGUAGCUGGUUUGAGAGAAUGACCAGCCACACUGGGACUGAGACACGGCCCAGACGCCUACGGGAGGCAGCAGUGGGGAAUCUUGGACAAUGGGCGCAAGCCUGAUCCAGCCAUGCCGCGUGAGUGACGAAGGCCUUAGGGUUGUAAAGCUCUUUUGCCGGGGACGAUAAUGACGGUACCCGGAGAAUAAGUCCCGGCUAACUUCGUGCCAGCAGCCGCCGUAA
rnacentral:rRNA from 1 species